rnacentral:rRNA from 1 species
UAGGGAAUCUUCGGCAAUGGACGAAAGUCUGACCGAGCAACGCCGCGUGAGUGAAGAAGGUUUUCGGAUCGUAAAACUCUGUUGUUAGAGAAGAACAAGGACGUUAGUAACUGAACGUCCCCUGACGGUAUCUAACCAGAAAGCCACGGCUAACUACGUGCCAGCAGCCGCGGUAAUACGUAGGUGGCAAGCGUUGUCCGGAUUUAUUGGGCGUAAAGCGAGCGCAGGCGGUUUCUUAAGUCUGAUGUGAAAGCCCCCGGCUCAACCGGGGAGGGUCAUUGGAAACUGGGAGACUGGAGUGCAGAAGAGGAGAGUGGAAGUCCAUGUGUAGCGGUGAAAUGCGUAGAUAUAUGGAGGAACACCAGUGGCGAAGGCGGCUCUCUGGUCUGUAACUGACGCUGAGGCUCGAAAGCGUGGGGAGCAAACAGG